UUCGGGGCUCUUUGGUGAUUCAUGAUAACUUUACGGAUCGCAUAGCCUUGCGCUGGCGACGGUUCAUUCAAAUUUCUGCCCUAUCAACUUUCGAUGGUAAGGUAUUGGCUUACCAUGGUUUCAACGGGUAACGGGGAAUUAGGGUUCGAUUCCGGAGAGGGAGCCUGAGAAACGGCUACCACAUCCAAGGAAGGCAGCAGGCGCGCAAAUUACCCAAUCCCGACACGGGGAGGUAGUGACAAUAAAUACUGAUACAGGGCUCUUUUGGGUCUUGUAAUUGGAAUGAGUACAAUUUAAACCUCUUAACGAGGAACAAUUGGAGGGCAAGUCUGGUGCCAGCAGCCGCGGUAAUUCCAGCUCCAAUAGCGUAUAUUAAAGUUGUUGCAGUUAAAAAGCUCGUAGUUGAAACUUGGGCCUGGCUGGCGGGUCCGCCUCACCGCGUGCACUCGUCCGGCCGGGCCUUCCUUCUGAAGAACCUCAUGCCCUUCACUGGGCGUGUUGGGGAAUCAGGACUUUUACUUUGAAAAAAUUAGAGUGUUCAAAGCAGGCCUUUGCUCGAAUACGUUAGCAUGGAAUAAUAAAAUAGGGCGUGCGUUUCUAUUUUGUUGGUUUCUAGAGACGCCGCAAUGAUUAACAGGAACAGUCGGGGGCAUCAGUAUUCAGUUGUCAGAGGUGAAAUUCUUGGAUUUACUGAAGACUAACUACUGCGAAAGCAUUUGCCAAGGAUGUUUUCAUUAAUCAGUGAACGAAAGUUAGGGGAUCGAAGACGAUCAGAUACCGUCGUAGUCUUAACCGUAAACUAUGCCGACUAGGGAUCGGGCGAUGUUCUUUUUCUGACUCGCUCGGCACCUUACGAGAAAUCAAAGUUU
rnacentral:rRNA from 1 species